GUCGUAUUUCGCUCUCGCGUUCUGUGCAUACGUCACAGAUGAGUUUAGUGAUACGCCCUCUGGAUGAUUCAUACGAAAAAUCAGACAAGCAUUCCCAUUUCUUAAAUAUCGUAAUUAGUAGACCUUGGUGAGUUUUUUUCGCCGCCAUCUCAAACUUUCAUCGGUGCGAUUCCUCAGUUUGCGGACUAAAAUAACAACCCGCAUGCGCACAUAACGUCAUCUGUUGUGUCCCCCCCAACACUGAAAACAAAACAAAACAAAACGAAAGUAAAUUAGAAGAAACACACUCACACACCACACCACAUCACAAACACACAUACAGGCGCAGAGAAAUCACGUAUAUCACACAGUCAAUUCAAGUGCGGUGACUUUUAUAAUUAAACUAUCUUUCGGUACCGUGAAAAUGACGCCACGGAAACGACACGCUACCGAUUGUUACUGUGAAAUCCUCAGGCUUGCCGUAGUUUGUUUUUUUGUUUGUUUAUUUGUUUUGACUGAGAAAUUUCCUUGCGUCCCAAAAACGCACAUUAUUUGGAACUGUGCGUCCCGUGGGAAAAUUAUGCGUCUAGGACGCGAGACGCAGAGGUAACGAGAUGGCUGAAUCUCUAAACAUUCUCUGAGUACUACUAUUAUUACCACUAAUACUACAUUAAUUAAUUUAAUACCUUCAACUUCACAAUAAUAAUACGUAAUUAAAUCAACCGUGAUUUUAAACUAUGUAUUAUCAAUAUUCAUUAUUCCAAACAUGAGAAAGCAUUCAGCAAACAUAACUGGAAUCGAGCAAAA